rnacentral:rRNA from 1 species
AUCUUCACAAUGGACGAAAGUCUGAUGGAGCAACGCCGCGUGAGUGAAGAAGGUUUUCGGAUCGUAAAACUCUGUUGUUGGAGAAGAACGUAUUUGAUAGUAACUGAUCAGGUAGUGACGGUAUCCAACCAGAAAGCCACGGCUAACUACGUGCCAGCAGCCGCGGUAAUACGUAGGUGGCAAGCGUUGUCCGGAUUUAUUGGGCGUAAAGCGAGCGCAGGCGGUUUCUUAAGUCUGAUGUGAAAGCCUUCGGCUCAACCGAAGAAGUGCAUCGGAAACUGGGAAACUUGAGUGCAGAAGAGGACAGUGGAACUCCAUGUGUAGCGGUGAAAUGCGUAGAUAUAUGGAAGAACACCAGUGGCGAAGGCGGCUGUCUGGUCUGUAACUGACGCUGAGGCUCGAAAGCAUGGGUAGCAAACAGGAUUAGAUACCCUGGUAGUCCAUGCCGUAAACGAUGAGUGCUAGGUGUUGGAGGGUUUCCGCCCUUCAGUGCCGCAGCUAACGCAUUAAGCACUCCGCCUGGGGAGUACGACCGCAAGGUUGAAACUCAAAGGAAUUGACGGGGCCCCCC